UGGGGGUCAUGGGUACGUAACUUCCUUCCCGACAAACACAAAAGAAGCUCUCCCAAAUUGUUUGGUACGCAAGUUGCUUGUCGCUGGUCGGUACAAACCGCGCACUUCAUGCUGGGUUUUGGUUGCGAACAACUCCCUCGCUGUGGUCUGGACUGUCAUCUCCUCCCUACUCCUGUUUCCCUGUGACUACCAAUGCGAAUGCUGGACGUGGAGCUGACACACUUCCCUCCUCUGCUCCUGUUCCCCUGGGCUAGCUCGCAUUGUGGAAAAGGCCGAGGUAGGCAUUGUUUAUUGUUCUAACAGUGCAACGGUCCUAUUUUAAAUAUGUAUCUGGUACAAUGUUUUCUUUUUUACAUGUCGCUUGACUUAUGAACAAUUAAACUUCAUAAAAACUGUUGUGUAUUGUUAUGAAAUGCGACAUAACCAUGGACCAGGGUGUUAAACGUUUCUCUCUGUUGUAGAUCACAGCUGGCUGUCUAUUACAGUUUGACCACUGUUUUCCCCCAUUAGAGUUUCUUUUGGUAUUAGUCAGUGUUAAACUAACAGCACGUCAAAGUUGGAUGUACGGUAUGCUUGUUUGUGUUGGUUUAUUUUCUUUGUGUUGUAUGCUUGUCUGAGUGAUACACUGGUGCAUUUACA